rnacentral:lncRNA from 1 species
UAGGAUACGAGCUGCUGGGCUAAAAGCUCACACAUCUUUGAGUCUUUAUUUCCACUUCAAAGUUGCCGCUUUAGUCCAUUUAGUAAAAUUCAGAAGAAUAUGUAGUCAGACAGUAAGUGCAUAUAUAUUUCAUGUUGUUUUGAGUUUCCCAAUCUUCUAAACUUACAUUUGUGCGAUGUCACUAAGCAUUGUAGUAUAUGAGCUUUCAGUUUUCUUAGUCGCCCACACCCCCCUUGCCAGGAAAAUGAAUUCUUCUUAACAGAAUCAACCUGCACAAGCAUUCACAGCAAAGAUCUCUCUGACUGUAGUUUAGUAAUAAUGAAGUUUUACUUUCCUCCUUGUCCUUGUUGAAUUGGUUCGGUAUAUGAUCCUAGCUACAUGGCCGUAGAUGGAUUCAUGUCCACAUAUUUAUUUGAUUAGAGAUGAGGAGCAAAAGAAUCAAGAGUUUAUCUUUCUUUAAGCAAUGAUAAUUUGUUUGAAGCCUUUUUUUUUUUUUUUUUUUGGCUUCUCAUGGUCAAUUAUGUGUUCAGUGUUCUAUUUACUACUGAAUGAUACAAGACUACUCUAAUAAGAUAACUUGAGCAUUUCCCAUACAUUAACAACUAUUUUGUAAAGACAGUUAGAGAAAAACAAGCUGUGAAACCAUGCUCGGAUCAUCAUAAUUGUUCUGAAAAAAUAUGUUAGUGCAACAUAGAAAGCACUGUUGUUAUAAAAGCAACCCUAGCUAGCUAAAAGGUUUUUUUUUUAUUUAUUUAAAAAUAUUCAAUUAGUUUCUUAAAAAUGCAAUAGUUAGCUGAGCGUCGUGCUUUUCAUCAAAUCAGCUCCAUCAUCUUUAGCUUCUACUUAUAGGUAAAAUGGAAGAGUUUUUGCUGCUUUGGUUGAUUCUUUUUCCAGAUUCUAUUAGGUUGGAUGCGCAAGUCUUCAAUCCUAUAAUUGAAAUGCUAUCUUCUGUUUUCGAAGUUUUAAGGAAAUAGUUUCCAUUUCUUGGGAGUUGGGUGGAAUCAGGGAGAACAAUGCUCAAGCUACAGUCAUGUCUAAGAUAUAUUCUUCAUAACAAUUGUUGCGAAGAAACAUGAACGAACACUUAAUUUGGAAAUUUUUUUUUUUUUAAAGUUGUUUAAUUUUGGAAAACUGAUUUUGCACAUUCACCCUUGACAUCAUUUUUUAGCUAAUUAUUAUAUUAGUUUGGCAACCAAAUAUUCCGCCAUUAGUCUAUUGUCAAACUGAUGCAAAAUAAUAUGUUUAAAGCUUAAAGAGUCAUUCAAAUUGCAAAGGGAAAAAAAAGAAAAGAAAGAUAAAUAAUGGAUGCAUGCCUUUUUGUUUAUUGCUGUGGUCUAAACUGAGGCAGUUAAUACUCUUGUUUAUAUAGAUGACAGGCAGUGUUGUUGUGUUAGUAAAGGUAUAUAUUAGGGGUUUAAUUUUGUCUGUAAAGAUGAAUAUUACACGUUUGCGUGAAAGCUUAUCAAAUUUAGUCCUUGCUAUUAUAUAACUUGAACUUUAUUUCGAAAUAAAUAUUGUUGUUGCUGUUGGAAGGUUUAAGCAUCAGCUUAUUUGUGUUACUUUUGGGAAGAUCGAUGAUGUGAAUCACUGGUUCCUUGCUGAGCACUAAAUCGAAUGGCUUGGAGAUAUUAUUCUUUCUCUAAUUCUAAUUAGGUAGGCAGCCAAGGAGGGUAUCUCCAGAUAUAUCGUCAUUUUGUUUAACAAGCCAAAUUAAUUAACUUGAUUGAUAACUGCAGGCUGUGUGGAUGCAGGACCUUUAAUUUGAUCGCAAACGUAGCCCUUUGGCGUUGAUCACUGAUCGAUGUCAUUUACAUGCUGAAACAGAACCCCGAUAUCAGUGCUGCUAGCUGAUGUUCUUCACAGACUGAUGCCAUGCGGGGCCGGGGAUACAUACAUACAUAUAUAUAUGAUCCCAAAAAAGAAGAAGAAGAAGAAGAAGAAGAAAGGCGCGCAGUGUUGUAGGUAGUGUUGUACGUAUCAUAAACGCUGAACGAAGACACUCCAUGAAAUGACAACCGAUUGUAAUCAUCAUCUGUUGAUUCCAUUCCACACCUAUUAUUAGAUUUUGAAUAGGAGGGACGUUUGCUCGGAUUAACUUGCACCACCACCAGGGUGGUCAGUGAGAUCGAUCGACAGUCACUGCAGCCUUAUUAGUUCAUAUAUACGACCGUAUUCUUGUUAAGUUAUUACUAGUACUCUACUAUUACCCGCCCAGAUCGAGAGGAUAUAUAAGUACUAUGGUAUAGUUAACUUGUUCGAUUUCUUUCAUUUUAUCCAAAUAAAAGAUGACUACACAUAUGCAAGUACAUGUGUAUUUCUUGCUCUGCGAAUUAGCUAGGUGACAUAUCAUUGCAGUUAUCGUUGACGGAAGAUGCUGCUGGGGUCGAAAAGAGGUUGUAUAUAUUCUGUACUAGUUACUACUACCACACCACAAUUGAAUUAAUAGGAGCAAAAAUAGUACGUACGGAAAAGGCUUAAUUAAAAGCUGGGUGCGGAAGGCCUGGAGGGGUUUCCUCGUGCCUAUAAUUGCAUGCCAUGCUUAGUUGCUCAACUGGCCGCUGAGUGAAAGUGCAAACCAUAUCCCAUCAUCAUUUCCACUUUCUAGCUAAUUUCGAUGUACCACUGCUCAUCUUACUCGCCAGUCACCACUCUCUGCAUGUGUAUCAUCCUAUAGUCCGGUGGUAGACCUUAGAUUAGACGAGGGCUUUUUUUUCUUCUUUCCUUUUUUGAAGGAGUUUAAUUGGGGGCAGUACCGGUACGUAGUAGGGGACCCUAGCCUAUAUACAUGAGGAGGAGGCGUGAUAUAUGUAUGUAUGAAAUGCUUGUACAUUUAAUUCAGUACUGAAUCUUGAAAGACGUGGAAAGUUAUUUAGGCCAGUAGCUAGCUAAAGGCUAAAGCUUGUGUAUACGUAGUAGGUCAUCUUUUGGCAAAGCAAACUAGCAAAGCAGUCAGCAGCAAACCAGACCCAGACCCAGGUCUCUGCAAAAAAGUCAGCCACUGCCCGCUCUGAUUCCCGCUGCGUUGUACUUGUACACUCUCCUCUUCUUCUAUAGUACCAUAUAGUAUAGUAAGUUGUCUGCAUUUGUCGCUGGGGACAAAGCUAACGGAACCAGAGCUUUUCCACGUACUCUUAGCGCUCUAACCUGGUUCCGCAUUUCAGUAGUGUUUCGCUACUUACUCUGAUCUGAUGCCGCCCGAAGUACUACCACAUCCCUUCAUUUUUAUUCGUCAGUAUUGUGCCUACACUUUGCACCUCAAAACAAAGACAUCUUCUUGUUCUUGAGCCAGCAGUGUAGGCAUCAACCUUAGCUGACGAUUUGUGGUCGCAAACUGUUGUCAAUAUACCGUAUAAAACCUUGACAUCGUUAUCAAUGGGUAGAACACUUUUUUUUUUUUUUUUUUUCUAAAUAAAGGCUUUAUAUUUAACAAUUUUUCUACGAGACGCUUUAAGUCUAUUUUUCCUUAACUUUUUUUCCCCUAAAACCUAAAUAUUAUGUGAAUUCUGGACGAGGGAAUGAUUAUUUUACCAAAUUGUGAUGCAAUUUUAAUUUUUUUUAAAAAACAUAUGCACAUAUUGUGUAUACACUAUUUUUUCCUCUACCUUUUCAAAGAUUUGUUUUUAAAGCAUACUUUUUCCUUAAUAUGUUGUAGUUAAAUAACUAAAAUAGCAUGCCACCAUUUUUUUAAAAAAAAAAAUUCUACAAUAUAAGAAAAUAUUUAGAUACAUACCAAUUAGUGGUAACUUAUGUACAUAGGUUUGGUAAAUAGCACACAUCAAUGUAGUACAUUUCAUAUAAAACAAUACGUUCAAUGUUGUCAAAUUUUUUUAAGCAAAAAUAUCCAACAAAAACCCAUCCAAAAUACUACCUUCAUUUCAAUCUCAUGACUAUAUAUACAAAAAUUCAUCAACGGACGAAAACAAAGAACUAGGAGAGGAAGCAUGGGGUUGUGCAUAAUUUCGGGAAAAUGAGGAGGAGGAUAAGAAGGAACAGUGUAGAGCAAUUGAGAGAGAUAGCAUAUUCAGUAAAAUAUUUCAUUUAAUUUUCCUCUGUCCUUUCUUCCUUCUUUUCAUCCUUAAGUUAUAUUGUUAAUUACUUGCGUAAAAUAUUUAGUCAUCAUAUUAUAAUAUAAGAAAUUAAAAAGUAUAUAUUUACUGGAAAGAAUUAAUUAAGUUUCUAUUUUGUUAAUAAUCCCUGAUUAUUAUCAUUUUUUUUUCCUAUUUUGGAUUACCAAUCAAUGCAUUACCAAGAAAAUUGUAAUUGCAUUUUAAAGAAGAUAAAAAAAAACUUAUGAUCAUUAGUUGCUAAUUGCUCUACGGAUGGAAUGAGGCGUUCAGCUAAAAUAAUUUGUGAUAUUGAUCUCACAUGCAUAAUUCAAACACUUUGAUGCAUAUAAUUUUGAUCUGAGUAAUAAAUUUGUUUGUUUUUAAAAUAAGUAAAUUUUAUGUGUAUUAUCAGUGUAUACACUAUCAUGAUUAAAUUAAUGAUUCAUAAGCUAAAUUUGGAUUUUAAAUACAAGUUUGGAUUGGUUGUCAUGUAUUCAAUGCUGAUAGUAUAUAUAUAUGAAUAUAAAAGUAAUUCUUUUAAAAUUCAUUCAUUAAUCUCACUGGUAUAAGAAAGCAAAUGUAUAAUCUAAGCUAUGCCCUUGAAUAUUUUGUUUGGCUUAGUUGUAAUUUUUAAAAAUUAAUUUGGAAAAUUUGUCUCGAGGGUUUAUGUCAUAUUAUAAUGAAAAGAAUACAUGCCGAUCAUUUAAUUUUGUUGACUAACAGAAUUUUUUCUAUCUUUUCAAAUUCUUGAACAUUAUCAGAAGCGGGACAAUAUAACGACUACGUAUGAUUGACAAUGUAAUUGCUAGCUUGGCUUAUAUUUUUCCUUUUUGUUUUGCUAGCCCUAGUUUAAUAUCAAAGACUUAACUGCUGAACCUGCGCAAUUACCGGAUUGGAGCAUAUAUUUGAUAGGUUAGUCAGCUUUAUGCAAUCUAUGAUAGAAUAUAGGGUAAAUUACCUUUAACCAUUGUGUGGUUUGAUACUUUACCAUAUGAUUCUCUAUAGUUUAAAAAUCUAUACAUAAUCUUUUCAUAGUUUCAACUAAAGUUUCAUCGCUAGAUCUUUUUGUUAAAAUUGACUGUCAGUAUUAAAAGUCAAAGUCAAAUUAGUAGAUUGACAAAUUCACCCUUUCAUUAUUUUUUUCUCCAAAUACAAAAAAUAAAAAAAAAUAACAAGUGGACAAGUGAGAAAUAGAAAAUACCAAAUCUUUAAUGAUUGAAAUAUCUUUUUUAUUUAUUCUUUUCUAAUGGGGGGAAGAGUAGGAUUUAAGAAGUGGGGAGGGAGUAGGGGGAUUUGAACACAAGACCUCUAAAUCCUGAAAUUUUAAUUUUAGUCACUAGAUCAAUACCUCUUCUCUAAUGAUUGCAAAUAUUAUUAUAGGUUUUAAUUUAUACCAAAUCUUUAGUGACUGCAAAUCUUUAACAGUAUCUUGUAUAUCUUAUUUAUCUAUUCUUUGUUGUAUUUAUGGAUAGUUAAUAUUUGUUACAAUUUACUAGGCCAAAGUAUAGUUUUCUAAAAUCAUCUCUAAUCUCUUUCCAAAGGGAACAAAAAAAAAGGAAAAAAGAAAAACAAAUCAGUGAAAGGAUAAAUUUGUCAAUUUACUAGUUUGACUUUGGCUUUUUGAUAUUAACAGUUAGUUGUAAUGGCAAAACUAAUGGUGACAAUUUAACCCAUACCAUGAAAGCUGUGUUUUUAAACUCGGAUCGGACUGGCCGGUCGAACCGAGAACCGGCCAAGUGUUCGGUCCGAGUUGUUCUUCAAAACCGGAAGACUAAAAACCCGGUCAAAAACCGGAAAAACUGGGAAAAAACAUGAAAAAUCUCACAUAUUUCAUACUUUAUAAAUGUUGUCCUAAAAUUUGAUGUUAUUUUUCAAUCAAAUCCAUAAUUUUAAUUCUAAAGUUGUUAAUGUUCAUUAAAUAAUUUAAAUUGCUACUUGAUUAUUCUAGUUUCUUUGUAUUUUCUUGUUAAAUAUAUUUGAAACAUCAAAUAUAUAUGAAUAUACCUUUAUUAAUAUUAACAUACUUUUAGAUAUUUUAUAUACAAUAUUUUAAUUUUUGAAUAAUUUUUAUUUAUGACAUCAUCCGGUUCAACCCGGAUCAAAUCCAUUGACCCCUGACCCCUGAGUUUGGCCGAGUCGAUACCCGGUCCGAGUCUGAAAACAUAGCAUGAAAGGGUUAUGUAUAGGUAAUUAAAUGAUAGGAGGGUAAAAGAUAAUUUACCCAAAACUUGUUGUGCAUAUGAUAUGGUUCAUGAGUGCAAAAAAUUGAAUGAAAGUUUCUUCCUCUGGUUUGUCUUUCCUUGCAUUGCUUAUUUGCUAUUUCUUUUGUCCAUGGAUUUUGUUUUGCAGUUACUUCGGCCAUUUGCCUCUAAUUUAAAUAACGUUUUAUUUACUUUUGAAUACAAAUUUUGGGCAGCUGACAUUUCACCGUUAAGUUGUGUCUUACAUGAUCCUUUUAAACAUCAUUUUAAUUAAUUUCAAUUCCAACAACUAGACUCUAUUCAUUCUUUUUGCAAUUUAUUCGGUCCAGUUUAUUGCAUUCCUACUGCCAAACUUAGCAGAUGUUGGUAAUUUUGUUUUAACAUGGUUGUUAUUUUUAAUUGUUAAAUGAUAUCUGUAUAACAGAUCAUGAGAAGGAUUUGAAUGCAAAUUUGGAUAUGCAAUGUAACCGUUUCUUAAUUUGUUACCUACCAUGAUCAGAAUGCACCAAAAAAAAAAGUCGAACAAGCAAUAUGUACAAAGACUGAGGAUGCUACCUGCAUUGUUCAUUAUAUGGAUGGAUCAGUCUCACAAUUGAUUAUUAUUAUUAUUAUGAUGUAAAAACUCUCUUGUGAGUCUUCAUUGAUUAUAUGGAUGGAUCACUCUGUUUUUUGUUUUGUUUUGGGUUUGUUUGUGGGGGUACGUGGCUAUCUUGAAAUCUUGGUCCAUUAUCAACCACUCUUCGUCCUUUUGGUGUGCCUGGCUCCCCUGCACAAAAAAUAAAAAUAGAAACCAGAGACGAUAAGUGGAGUAUGCCACAAUACUGAUGCUAAUAUUGGAAUUGGAAACCAGAGAGGAAGUAGUCCCCUCCCUAGACGUGUAAAGAAAUCACCUCCCUAGUCCCUCCCCGUAUAUGUAGGCUAUAAAUGUAGGCUUUAUACUAAAAAUAAUUGUAGUUUAGCCUGUUGGUCUAGCUGUAGAAUAGAGGGCAUGAGCUAGGACGUAGGAGACGUAGGCUUCAUCAAUUAAUGACCACAGUAAAGAAAGAAAAGCUAUUUAAAAAAAAAACGAGUAAGAAAAGAAGGGCAAUACGUGGAGCGCGCUUUUAAAAUUAAAAGUACAAGUUGGUCGUGGCGAUCACCCCAGAUGGAACACAGAAGCGUGCAUUCUACUCGAGAGAAGACGGCAACACUGGCAAGUGCAAAUUAUUGCAGAAAGAGCAAGUGCAAAUUACAGUGAAGUGAGAUGGUGAAUUUUUGAGUAUGGACGGACCACGUUGGUAUUUCAAUGCAACAGUAACAGAUGAUGACCCGUGAAUUGAUGAUUCUUUUUCUCCUUUCCGUCCAUCUUCUCUUUGGCCAUCUCUGAUCUCCCCCCUUUCUUUCCUGAAUCAGCACAUUGCUACCCACUUUUCAAAGUAUACUUGCUUCUCCAAUUCGUCCCUCCUCAGCUAACUCCUCUGUUCCCUCCUUUACUCCGACUACGUCGUACUGAUCAUGAUUUCUUCUUCUUCUUUUUUUUAAAAAAAAAAAAAAAAAUCUUCUUCUUCCCUUGAAAAACACGCAGCACACAGACAUAUGCAUAAAUAAAGAGAGAGAGAGAGAGAGAAAAGGAGGACUAGAUACAUAAACGUACGUCUUUGGAAACCGGUAAGGAAGGGAAAAAGGAGAUGCAGGCUUGGCGAAACAAAAAGUGAUGCUAAAAAAGUAAACACUGGCCAAUAUCCUCGGUUUCGUGCAAUCUUAGCAGCAAGUAGUGUAAUAAUUGAAAUUUGUGUUAUAAAAAAAAAAAAAAGACAACAAAUGAGUGUUUAUGGCAGGGGAUCAGGAGCAAAAGGGGAGAGCCGCCGGACAAACCCCCCAUUCUUCCCCCAAGAAAUCCAACCCAACCUGAAUGCCCAGAAAUCACGAAUUGAUCAGAAGGGAACCGGGGAGGUGUGGCUAGCUAGCGUCUGUGCAGGCAUUGACAGAGAAAGAGCAAGUUUAUUUUUUUUUUUUUUUUUGGGGGGGGGGGGCGUGGGGCUUGGGGCCCGAGGGGGGGGGGUGUGGGAAAGAGGAUGGCAGCAGAUCCCAGAAAACAACUUCGCAAUUAUAACGACAUGUAUGUAUAGAUUCUAGGCCGCGGUAAACUGCGACAGCAACUGAUCAUGCUGAGCAGCACAAGCUUCCAUAACCAGCCGUAAAGUUUGCAUGAUGCACUUUCCUCACCACCCCCCCAGCACAACACAAAACACAGCAACCCAAAAAACCCCAAAAGGGGGGAAAAAAAAAAAAGAAAGCCUGGAAAGGAAAAAAAAAAGAAAAUUUAAGCGAAAAAAAGAAAAAGUGUCCAGGAGGAAGAUUCAUGAAUUGUACAGACCUGCAGAACUUUUUCUUUCAGGCCCAUCUCAUCCCGUCCAGAACGAAAACGAUCCAGGUACCCCCACCUGGAUGGAUGGGUCUGGCAAAGCAAACAUGGCAACAUGCACGCCCGCUCCAUGCCUUUCCCCACUGUCCGAAAGGAUACAGCUUUCUCUCCCUCAUUCAUUGCCGAGUACCCCCUGAUGAUUGAUUGUGCUAAGGUAUCCCAAACUGAACCCUCCAUGCACUUUCUCCUGUUGCCAGCCACCCGCUGAUCUGAUCAUUACUCAUCCAUCCUUAACCGUCACCACUCCUCUCACCCGUUCCUUUUUCGUCUCCUUCUUAGCCCUACUUUUGUCUUCACCUACCCCUACCAUCAUCAUCAUCCUCUCUGCUUCAGCUUCCUCCAAUCUCUUUCUCAUUAUUAAUUAUUUCUUCCAAUCUCUCUCUUUUGUGUAUCUGCUCUUUCUUUUUUUUUUUGUUGACCUUUUGGCUUCAAUAUCAUUAUUAUCAUAUUCAUAAUUUGUAAUGAAGAAUGAUUUUUUUUUUCCCUUUUUUUAACACGUACGUGCAUCUGAAUCAAGUAUAUAGCUAGGAUGAAGUUUUGGUUAAGCUAGCUAUAGCAGUGUAGCCUUUUCAACGAUGAGUGAUUAAAUAGUUCAGCACAUUUUCCUCCUUGGCUUUUGAGUUUUGAGUAGACACGGGCCGCAGAAUUAUUCAGCUACGAAACAAAUGGAUACACAAAAGUUCGUUCAUUCAUUCGAGUAAUCUCAAGUUAACUCAUUCAUUCGAGUAAUCUUCAUGGAUUUAAGACUACGUCGUACGUACACCUUGCAAAUGUACUACUCAUCAAUUAGUUAGUUCAAAAUAAGGGAGGUAAGUGGAAAUUGGAAACUUGAGGUGAGGUGUGAAGAACGUGCGUAUAAAUAUAUAAAUUCGUUUUCUUCUCUUAUAUUUUAUUUUCUUUAAUCUUAGGUUGAUGAUAUAAGUAAAUAAAAAUUGAUCAAAUGGAGAUGAUUGACGACGUAAUUAACGUAAUAAAAUAGUGCAAAUUUCAUUCCUUAUGUAUGAUGAUUGACGACCAAUGGGACCGUGAAUUAAUAAUAAUUAGCUGCGUCAUUUAUUUAUAUGAAUGAAUAAUACUAAUGAAUGGGUAUGGGGGGACCGGUUUAAUUCAUUGCCGUAAUAAAAAGUCAUUUCGGGAAGGGUCCCCACGGCUUAAGACUUGCCCAGAUAAUUUGUGUCUGUAGUAGUAAUUGAAUGCCUGAAUCUAUCAUGGGCUGCCAACUGUACGGGUAUUUGCAUCUUUUUAAGCCAUCACCAUAACAUAUAGUAAUUGAUCUCAUGUAGAUGUAGGUAGGGUGAUAUAUAAUUUCCAAUUUGUGUCCUUUGGAUUGGAUGAAGCAUACAUAAAUUAAUAAAUCUGACUGCACCUCAACUUGAUUUUGAGCAUUCUGCGAUUCAAAACUUUUGAGGGAGACCAGGCAACAAUGAAUAUGUGCUGCUACUCUCUUCGAUUCUCGAUUUGAUUUGAAAGAAAACAAAUACGUCGCCAAUUGUUGUUUAGCUAUGGAUCGAGACAACCCUCCUAGCUUACUGUGAGGCCGGCCUGGUCGCCUAAAGGUAGUGGCCCGGCCCAUUUAUCUUGACUGUGUUUGUUACCUGGGGGCAUCUAAAUACAACGUUGCAAGGCAACAGACGGCCUCAUAAAAGGCAGUACUACUAUUCUCUGGACGAGAGACGCACAAUCCCGCACUAAACUUAUCUUAUAACGAGAAUUGAAUGGGCCUUCACUAGCACUAGCUUCAGAUGGGAUGGGGAAAAAAAACGCACAUUCCCUGAUUUUUUAUUUCUUAUUUUUGGCGGCAACAUAAGAGAUUACAUGAGACAGCAGGCAUUUACAUUAUCGUCGUUAAACAUGUUGCUGACCUUGUCGUCUCCCCGUUGAGUGACCGGAAGACUGCCGUGCCUGUCGGCAGCAUUGUAGCCGUGCCUCCAGUAGUUGUAGCUCUCUUUGAAAUCGCUGGUGGUGUCCUUGAAGUAGUUGGUGGUGGAAGUGAAGUAGAGCGGGGGAUUUGGAUAGGGCCAAAACUCUGCCCUCUUUCCCGCCCUUCUCACCGCCGUCAGCACCUUGUUUCGAUCCACGUACCCAAUUACUGUCACCUUAUCCAUCUCCAGCUCUACGUCGACUGAAUCCACCCCUGUACAUACACAUACGUACACAACCUCAAAAAAAAAAAAAAGCCGAUUACCUAGCUACUACUGCUAUUUCUUCUGUUGUUGAACUUGAGGGAGGGAUCAUGCACGUAGUAGUGUCUGACCAGAGAUUGAUUACUCACUUAAUUAGUCAACUGUGUGCGUCUAUACUAAGAAUUAGUAGUAUAUGUGGAAAUUAAAUUCGAUGCUUGUAUAUUGUAGCUAGUAUAAUACUCCUGUGGUUAAAAUAAAAUUAAAUCAGUGACUCAUGAACUACCUCUGAGUUUGUUAAAAUUAAUGAAACUAAUUAUACCUCUGAGUUUGUGGAUGGCGUCCUUGACAACUCUCUCGCAGCCACUGCAGCACAUCCUCACUUUCAGCUCCACUGUCUGCAAACUCAUCCAACCAACACUAGUACGGGUUCUUUAAUAUUCCCCAGAUUAAAUGAUACGCGCUUCGCAGAUUCCCCUUUCCACAAAAGCAUUAACUAUAUAUGCAGGGCUCUUUCUUUUGAUCACAAAAGUAUAUACACCUUAAUUUGUUCCUUUUGAUCGCGGUUACUUACUAAAGCGUUUUCGUCAAUUAAACCUGUGUCUCUGUCUACUUGGUUUAGGGCCUUUAGGUUUCAGUUGUUUAACUCAAGUUUUAUUUUCCUUCCAAAAUAUGUGGAACUGGGAUCCCAUCUGCUUUUGUAGGACGACUGACUACCUUUCUUCUUCUUCUUUCUUCCCUUUUUUUUUUUCUCUUUCCUUCGUUCUUUUUUGCAAGCUAGCUUUGUUCAUUAACUGAAGCAGCCAAUAAUAAUUAAGGAGAUUUCACCAAGGAUGAUUUCACCAAGUUUGUAUGUCAGAUUUUGAGCGACACGGGCUGGUAUUUCCUAGGUUUUGUUACCCUUUUUUCGUCUUUUUGAAGAGGGCAUGCAUGGGAGGUAUCUGCUCGCCACAACAACAGAGUCGUUUUCUCUUCUUCCAUAAAUAAAUAAACGACAACAAAAGAUGUAAAAUUUCAAUCUCUGAAAAAGUCAGAUUUGGGGCCAUGACAUACUUAUUUCAGUUUAGCUGUAUUAGUUACAAAUCUAAUGUAGUCCUUAAUAUACAAGCGACCACCAGUAGCAAACAAAGAUGAACUAGGUAUACGGAGUCAGGGAUACUGACCCUCAUCCUCUUCUAUUGAGUUUUUAUUUUAUUUUUAUCUCUUCUGUUGAGUUGGUUGAAAUUGUCCCAAAUAAUAAUAACAAUAACUAAAUAUAUAAUAGAAGUUUGAUACAAAGUUUAUUUCCGAACAACAACCGGUUCUAAAGGAUAAACCUGAGUACGUAUGUAUGUAUGCAUGUGGAUAAGAUGGAGUAUAUGUAAAACAUGAAGGAUGGAUGGAUGGAUGGAAGUGAAACCUGCAAAGAAAGCGGUCGAGCCUUGGUCUUGGGCAUUUUGUAGCUGAUAUUGUCGUUGUUGGAGCUUUUGGGGCGAUAGUGGUUGGAGUCUUGAUGACGAUGAUAUUGAAAGAAACAGUAGGCAAGAGCUGAGACGACAAAGCCAAAUAGCCUUUCCGGUAGGUUAACCAUUGCCAACAGGUUCCUUCUCUAGAUAUAUAUACUACACCUACUAUGUAAGUAACGUUAUGUAGAGUUACAUUAAUUAGGAAAGAAGAAAGGAGAGACGCAUGGGAAAGGGAAGAACCCAUAAGUAGUAGAAGGCAUCAUUGAUGAGGCUGGCAAAUGCUCUAUUAAAAAUAUUCCUCCAAUCCUAAGGCGCCUCUUCCUUCAGUCCUAAUAUUCUCUUACGGAGUAGUUUUUUUUUUUUUUUCUUCUUCCUCUUGGUAACAUAUUCCCUUCUCCAAUUCAACAAAGCUAAGUAAUCAAGCUGAUCAUGAUAUGACAGUACCACUUUCCCUUUUGUUACCAGUUUCUUGCCUCCACGGGAAUGGUGAGUGUUUAAUUAACAGAUUAUUAGUCGCCAGACCUACGAAGCAUAUUUGAGAAUGAAUAGGCACGUGAGCGUUGUGUACAUACUCAGUGCAUGCAGAAUACUUCCAAUCGAAUCGACAGGUUUAUUCUUUUGUUCUAAAUACCGAAGCCAGUUCUAAAAAGCAGGGGGAGUGGAAUCCAAAACCUGGAAUUUUUUAUUUUAUUUUUUUAAUGCCUGGAAUUGUGUGGGGUUAGCUAAAGCUAAUAUGGCUGCUGACAUUGGAAAAAGAAUAUCAAGCCUGGUGGGAGAUGGAUGGGCUUAAGGAAGUAACAGACGGGCUUUGAUGCGAAGGAAUCAAAUAUUUCUUCAAAAUCUCCUCUUCUUUUCUUUGUAUUUUUUCUGUUUUGCUUCAAUAUCUUGCACAAGUAAACCGAGCCAUGCCUCGGAUGUAUGUAUAUAUAUACAUAUAGUUGAUCCCUUUACGAAAUAACAGAGAAUUCGAAUAAAUUCCUUAACAGUACUCGCUUCAUCGCCCGUGUACUGGUCUUUCCCCGGCCGAUUUAUGAUCGCUUUCUUUCCUUCUCUCUGUCUUUUUUGUUAUGUAAUGUAUGACAUUAACUACGUACUAGGAGGGUUGAGUGUGUAAACAUCUGGACAUACAUGGGAUUCUUCUUCUUAUGUAUAAAGUAUAUUAGGUUUGACAGAUAAUUGCGAUCGAUGUGGUACGUUGUACGAGCUAAGAGGAUCUGAUGCUUUUGGUUCAUGCCUACCAUUAUUAUUGUUCUAUAUACUCGCUCCAAAUCUGACUCUGAGUAUCAUCACAUGACACGAACGAGUUAUAUUAAAUACAAACAAUUGUUCGGGUCUGUGGGCAACGAACGAUAAAAGAACAUCCGGUCUGCCGAAGAACUGUGGAUAACAAGACUUGUUCCUAGUCUUAAUAAAGUUAUAUUAUUGAAGCAAAGAGAAUUAGGUUCUGGUUCGUCAUUUGGUGACGCAAAAGUACUUGCUGCUUUGUAGACUGUUCCUAUCUUUGAUUAUCCGGGAUUGUCACAACAUCACUUUGUUAUCCCCUCUUCCAUUACACCAUCUCUGCCAUACAUUACACUCUGUAGAGUAUAAUAGCGUGGAUCCACAAUCAAAUUAUAUAUUUAUUUUAAUAAUUCACACAAUACAUGUCCCGUAAAAUUUAAAGCUUCUAAAAUUAUCAAAUCAUGACCGUUACACUUUCAGUAUGGGAGCUAUUGCACCCCAUUGUGGAUGGGGAUGAGGUAUCAUUUCACGUCUUCAUUUUGUCUUUGUUUCCUAUUUCGGCUCUAAUAUCUACAUUCCGCAUGUAGAUUAAUCACCAAAAGUUCAAUUCCGUGUUUUCUGAUUUCUUAUUUCACUUUGUUUGAAUAUGAAUCAAAUCUUUUUCCUUUUCCAAUAGCCAUACGCUCUUUCUUCAAUUCAGUUCUCUAUCGACCAACACAAUAAAACGACAAACCAAAAAAAAAAAAAAAAAAAGGAACCCAGAAAACUUAUGGACCUUUUCACCAAUUUAAUAUUUUGGAAAUGCUCUUUUUUUUUUUUAAUCCAAACUUCAAAAUGAGAGAUAGGAAGUAGAAAUGCUAUCGAGUCAAGCCAAACUCGAGUAGUACCAUACUUGAGUUGGAGCUCGAAGGUUAUGGGAACUACUCGAGCUCGAAUAAACCCCUGACUCCAAACUCGAACUCGACUCGAUGUAGUUGAAAAAACCUCGAGCUCAAAUUCGAGCUCGUACUCGUAUAAGAUCUGAGCUCGAUUACUCGAUUUAAUCUCAAAAAAUGAGCUUGAAAACCUUUGUUAAAUUAGAUCUUUUCCUUCUUAAUGUUUUCAAAUUAAGUUCUCUAAAAAACAAGAAAUAAGAAGUAUGAUUUUAUGAAAUCCCUGCUUUGUCCAAACAAAUAAAUAAAGGUGUUAGAAUGGUUCAUUGUAAAUUUAAUAAGUUGCUUAUCUGUAUUAGUAAUUUUCUAUAUAUUAUAUAUAAUUUUUUUUAUUUUAUUAUGAGAUACUCGAUAGAGCUAUAUUAUAUAUAUAUUUUUUUUUAUUUUUUUAUGAGAUACUCGAUAAAGUUCGUCGAGUUCUUGAGUAUCUCAUAACUAGACUUGAGCUUGACUCGCUAUUUCUAUUGCUCCUCGAGCUCGAUCAGAGCAAGCUCGAGCCAAACUGCUAAUCGAGUAGCUCCCGAUCUCGAGUCUAGCUACUUGGAUCAGAUCCACCCCGAAUAGGGAGGAUAUGAGAGUUGAACUAAUGAUCUCAACUUAAACCAUAUCCAAACUUAAAAAGGUGUUUUGGAGAUACUAUACUAUAAUAUUAUAUAUGAAAAACUUUUAUUAUAGUUAUUUGUUGAGGUGUUUUUGAAAUGUAAAAUCUUAUUGAAGUAUUUUUAAAAAAAUUAAAAAAAAUUCACCACCCAUCACCCCUUCUCUCCUCCCUCCUCCACCUCCACUGUCACCCUCCUCUUUCCUCCUCCCUCUUCUUCUUUCUCUCCUCCCCUUGUUCCUCCUCCUCCACCCUCCUCUCCCUUCCCCACCACCCGCUCCCCUAUGUUUGCAUUUUUUUAGUAUUUUUUGUAAGUUAUACUUGAGAUGUGUGUUUUUGAAUUAUAUUUAAAAUUUAUUAUUGUAGAUUCUACACAUAAAAAUAGUUUGUAAAAACAAAUGAUAAUCCAAAUAGAGCCAUUGGUUUUUGUUAACAAUCGAAAAACAAUUCAGGACAUGACCAUCUAUCCGGCAUCCAGCGUCUUUGCAGUUUCACCGGCAACAGCAAAGUGCGAUAGAAGGCCCAGAUUGGGCGAGCUUGGCUCGGGCCAACUUGGACCAUUAAUCUCAAAAUUUUGUAAAGUUAUGCUCAAAUAUAUUAAAUUUAAUAUUUUAACAAUUAAAUUACUUAACAAAUUUAAAUUUUAAAUUUUAAAUUUUCAAAUUUCAAUUUUAUCAAAGUAUUUAGUGAUAAGUUGAAUCCAGUCCGACCCUAUUUUUGAUCUAUGGUUUGACCGGACUUAGACCUCUGGAUCGAAAGUUACGCGGGCCUCCUGCAACGGAAUCCGUGGAGCUACAAACCGGGACAACCACGUGCGACUAAGGUUGACAAACCAGGACAAUUACGUGCUACUUGCUUAAUACAGAGAGCAGGGGAUGCUAGGGAUUGGUUUGUACGACAUUCCAGAAAUUUUUUAUCAACUCUUUGAUCCAGCAUUAUUCGCCGCCAGGGAUCUGUUUUUGUUUUUAGUUUUUUUUUUCUCCUGAAGAAGCAAAUGAAGAAGAAGAAUAUUUACUAUGGUGUAUCAUUUUGGCAGAAUUUAACACUUAAUAACAUGCAUUUUUUUUUUAUUCAGGGGGAACAUGCAUUCUUACAUGUACAAAAAGGAAAAAAAAAACCACAAUUUCAUAUACAGAUCUCUGUAAUAGUAGUACUAGUAAUCAAAUUCUAGGAGGCUAGCAGCUAGAUAUAUGUAAUAUACAUAAAAGAGAAAAGGAAAACGAAAAAGAAAGAAAAAUAUUUGAAAAUUGCUAAAACAGAAUAAGAGGGAGGCCGGGGGCUAACAUUGGGCUUGCAGGAUCUUAUUAGUUGACGGAUGGAUUCUAGUACGAAAAGUGUGCAUGGAUCAGGACUGAGGAAGAGGGCAUGUGAUGUCGCGAGAAGCACGAGGAGGAGGGGGAGGCGGAGGCGGAGGAAGAGAAGGAGAAGAAGAAGCAAAGGGAAGAUUACGGAGAAUGAGAAAACGAACCCGCGGAUGGAAGGGGAGGGGAGCCUGGUUGAACAUAUGCUCCAGCACCCUAGCCACCAACACCGUGUACUCCUCCAACAGCUCCGCCACUAUGGCCACCAGUAUCAUACUAGUAUCAGCAGUUGUUUUGUGUACCGAAUUGCGAAACAACUAGAGUAGAAUAUUAUAUAAUUAGCCAAAGAUCCGAGGACAGGAGUCGUGUGGAUUAUGAGGUGGAGUUGGAUGUAGAAGUAGGAAGUAGAAGCAGCUUAAUUCCAAUUGAGAAUUGCGACCGUUCUGGGAAAUUCCGUCUGCGGCUCCACCGAACUACUACUACUAGUACUAUAUUGGGGUGUGGAUUGGGGGACUGCUAAUACUAAUAAAUAUAAAAGAAAAUUACAAUGUAUAAAUCUCAGUCAACUUCCAAAGCCUGCCUGGGAUUUUAUAUCAGUAGGAGUAUAUAUUCAGGAAACGUGCCAUGGUGUAGCAGUAGCAGCUACGGCUAAAUCCAUGGGCUGGGCAGGGCAGCCGGAGAUGGAAGUGGUGGUGGUGGUGGUAUUCAAAUCCAUGUCCUGCUUCUUUUUUUCAAUUGGGGAUGGUGGGCUUCUAACUAUCUGUCCGCUGGAGCAACUAGUAAGCAGCAGCAGUCACUCUGGAAUUUUCUAGGUCGGGGGGUGGGGGCAGCGAAAAAUGUAUAAUUUAUUUAUUUAUUAUUGGUAGAAUAUGAAUGGAUCAUAAUUAGAUUACUACGUAAUUAGUAGUGCAUCCGUGACUGCUGACUAUAUUGUAUUAGUAAUUAUCAUCAU